rnacentral:tRNA from 1 species
GGCUAGAUAACAUAGUGGCAAUGUAGUGGACUGCAAAUCCAUAAACAACGGUUCGAUUCCGUUUCUAGCCU